rnacentral:rRNA from 1 species
UCGGGAAUUUUGGGCAAUGGGCGAAAGCCUGACCCAGCAACGCCGCGUGAAGGAUGAAGUAUUUCGGUAUGUAAACUUCGAAAGAAUAGGAAGAAUAAAUGACGGUACUAUUUAUAAGGUCCGGCUAACUACGUGCCAGCAGCCGCGGUAAUACGUAGGGACCAAGCGUUGUUCGGAUUUACUGGGCGUAAAGGGCGCGUAGGCGGCAUGACAAGUCACUUGUGAAAUCUCUGGGCUUAACCCAGAACGGCCAAGUGAUACUGUCGCGCUAGAGUGCAGAAGGGGCAAUCGGAAUUCUUGGUGUAGCGGUGAAAUGCGUAGAUAUCAAGAGGAACACCUGAGGUGAAGACGGGUUGCUGGGCUGACACUGACGCUGAGGCGCGAAAGCCAGGGGAGCAAACGGGAUUAGAUACCCCUG